GGGCGGGUAGCGUAGUUGGUCAGCGCAUUCACUGAGCGUAUUCUUCUUAAGUAAUUUUAAUAAUAGCGUUGAUUUAUUCUCUUCUUCAUACACGAACAGCGUUCACUGAAAGACCUGGGUUCGAAUCCCAGUCCGCCCA